UGAGCCCUAGUCUUAACUUCCGUC
rnacentral:misc_RNA from 1 species